AAUCGGAAGGAGCGAGGCUGAAAGAGGAUGCAAUCCAAAAGCAACGCUUUUAAAAGCUGUAACAAAUCUGCGGUUACCAAGCAACUUCACAGUUGUCACUGCGCUGCCCAUCGUGGCCGGCUGGAAUUUCACAGCAACCGUGAGGACAGAACCCAGCUCGUCCUGCUCCGGAAACACAGGCUCCCGGUGCGUGAACUGAACACAAAUCGCCUCCAGCAUCUUCAGCAGGACCCCCGAUACCCGGUGGAGGAGCUGUGCACGCGCAGACGAUCCCGGUCACUCCAGCUACAGGACCUUUUGCACCAGGCUGCCAAACCAUUUCAUGAGCAUUACUGGACUGAUGUUUACCAUUCCCAAGCUGCGUUAUCACCACUGUAUAGAUGGGGAGACUGAGGCACAGAGACUUUACUGGCAGUUCCUGGUCUCCUCUGACGGGUCCAGAGCAUCAGCAAUUCCACACAACUGUGGUGUGCAAGGAGGUGGGGAAGUGUGAGAACCCUCUUUGCAAAGCUGAAGGAACCAAGGCACAGUGGCUGCGCAGACAACAUUUACAGCCGUGGCCCAAGACUGCUUGGGCACGAUUUUCAGAUUUACCGAAGCACUUGCAACGUCCAGUGAAGUCAACAGGAGCUAUGGCUGCUUGGCCAAAGCAGGCUUUUUGCACUAAUAUUGCUUUGUUCCCUAGCCCACGCUCUCUGUACUCCCUCUCUGUGUGCACCUGGCUCUGCAUUCAGUUACAUACCUGCGAUCACUUGAGAUCCAGCCCGCAACAUCGCUAGAAUUAAGGACAAGAUUUUCAGAAGAGCUCACAUUAUUCUCAAAGGGAACUGCUGAAUGCAGAGCGCUUGCAAAUCUGGCCUCUUACAGAGGCCUGCAUCUCCCUAGAUCUUAUUCAAAUAGCUGGGGCAAGGGCAACCGAACCAAGCCUUGCCCUUAUGCAAAGAGCCAGCUUUUGUCUCGUGACCUUUUCUCAGCAUGCCCUUGUUCUAAGUUUGUUACCUGUAAUGAAAAGCUGCUGCCAUCUGCUGGUAAAUGCACCAGAGUCUCUUGGAAUAAAUGCACGACAUACACUUCUGUCAGCAGAACGCA